UCAACCAGGUUGUUGUUGGUAUA
rnacentral:siRNA from 1 species